rnacentral:rRNA from 1 species
UGAACGGCUGGCGGCGUGCCUAACACAUGCAAGUCGAACGAAGCGUGAUUGAAGGAGACUCGGUCAAUGGAUAUCAUGACUUAGUGGCGGACGGGUGAGUAAUACAUGAGCAACCUGCCUUUCAGAGGGGGACAACAGCUGGAAACGGCUGCUAAUACCGCAUAACGUGCGAGAGGGGCAUCCCUUUUGUACCAAAGGAGCAAUCCGCUGAAAGAUGGGCUCAUGACUGAUUAGUUAGUUGGCAGGGCAACGGCCUACCAAGACUGCGAUCAGUAGCCGGACUGAGAGGUUGAACGGCCACAUUGGGACUGAGAUACGGCCCAGACUCCUACGGGAGGCAGCAGUGGGGAAUAUUGGGCAAUGGGCGAAAGCCUGACCCAGCAACGCCGCGUGAAGGAAGAAGGUCUUCGGAUUGUAAACUUCUUUUAUGAGGGACGAAGGACGUGACGGUACCUCAUGAAUAAGCCACGGCUAACUACGUGCCAGCAGCAGC